rnacentral:misc_RNA from 1 species
GAUGAAGAACGUAGCGAAAUGCGAUAAGUAGUGUGAAUUGCAGAAUUCAGUGAAUCAUCGAAUCUUUGAACGCACAUUGCGCCCCUUGGUAUUCCAUGGGGCAUGCCUGUUCGAGCGUCAUUUGUACCUUCAAGCUCUGCUUGGUGUUGGGUGUUUGUCUCGCCUCUGCCUGUAGACUCGCCUUAAAACAAUUGGCAGCCGGCGUAUUGAUUUCGGAGCGCAGUACAUCUCGCGCUUUGCACUCAUAACGACGACGUCCAAAAGUACAUUUUUACACUCUUGACCUCGGAUCAGGUAGGGAUACCCGCUGAACUUAAGCAUAUCAAUAAGCGGAGGA